rnacentral:rRNA from 1 species
UGGUAAUGCCGGAUGCUCCAGUUGAUCGCAUGGUCUUCUGGGAAAGCUUUCGCGGUAUGGGAUGGGGUCGCGUCCUAUCAGCUUGACGGCGGGGUAACGGCCCACCGUGGCUUCGACGGGUAGCCGGCCUGAGAGGGCGACCGGCCACAUUGGGACUGAGAUACGGCCCAGACUCCUACGGGAGGCAGCAGUGGGGAAUAUUGCACAAUGGGCGCAAGCCUGAUGCAGCGACGCCGCGUGAGGGAUGGAGGCCUUCGGGUUGUAAACCUCUUUUAUCGGGGAGCAAGCGUGAGUGAGUUUACCCGUUGAAUAAGCACCGGCUAACUACGUGCCAGCAGCCGCGGUAAUACGUAGGGUGCAAGCGUUAUCCGGAAUUAUUGGGCGUAAAGGGCUCGUAGGCGGUUCGUCGCGUCCGGUGUGAAAGUCCAUCGCUUAACGGUGGAUCCGCGCCGGGUACGGGCGGGCUUGAGUGCGGUAGGGGAGACUGGAAUUCCCGGUGUAACGGUGGAAUGUGUAGAUAUCGGGA